rnacentral:rRNA from 1 species
CNCCAGUGGCGAAGGCGACUUUNUGGACGAAAACUGACGCUGAGGCGCGAAANCCAGGGGAGCGAACGGGAUUAGAUACCCCGGUAGUCCUGNCCGUAAACGAUGGGUACUAGGUGUAGGAGGUAUCGACCCNUUCUGUGCCGGAGUUAACGCAAUAAGUACCCCGCCUGGGGAGUACGACCGCAAGGUUGAAACUCAAAGGAAUUGACGGGGGCCCGCACAAGCGGUGGAGUAUGUGGUUUAAUUCGACGCAACGCGAAGAACCUUACCAGGUCUUGACAUUGAUGGACAGAACCAGAGAUGGUUCCUCUUCUUCGGAAGCCAGAAAACAGGUGGUGCACGGUUGUCGUCAGCUCGUGUCGUGAGAUGUUGGGUUAAGUCNNNCAACGAGCGCAACCCCUAUCUUAUGUUGCCAGCACUUCGGGUGGGGACUCAUGAGAGACUGCCGCAGACAAUGCGGAGGAAGGCGGGGAUGACGUCAAAUCAUCAUGCCCCUUAUGACCUGGGCUACACACGUACUACAAUGGGAGUUAAUAGACGGAAGCGAGAUCGCGAGAUGGAGCAAACCCGAGAAACACUCUCUCAGUUCGGAUCGUAGGCUGCAACUCGCNUACGUGAAGUCGGAAUCGCUAGUAAUCGCAGGUCAGCAUACUGCGGUGAAUACGUUCCCGGGCCU